AUGGGUUUAUAGAAUUCAAUUAUUGUAUAAAUAGUUAAUUAAUAAUAUAUAGUUAAGUAAUAAUAUAUUUUAUUUCAAUUUUCGCGUAUUAAAGUAACUAGAGAAACAUGCUUCAACCAAUCAAAAAGCUGCUAAGACCCAGUGGCAAGAAGAAUUAAUGCAUAUCAUAGCGCGCAUAGUCAUGGUAUCAGUCUAUAGUUGAAAAUCGUAAAGAUAAAUUGUAUUUCACUGGUAAAAAUGCAUAAUUACAUAAAACUUUUAUUAAUAGAAUAUUAUAUUAUAAUUAUUAAGUUUAAUUAUAAAUUACUAAUCCUACUGUUUAAUUAAUAUAUGUUUGUUUAAUUAUUAUAUCAGAAUUAAACAUAUUUGUGCAGAUUAUCGUUUUAUUGAAGUUUCGAAGACAGAAUGACUUUAAACAUGUAAUAACUUUUGCAUAUACACAAAUUAUAGAUACAUAAUCCAACAAUUUUCAUACAAAUAUGAUAAGUUUUAUAGAUAAGCUAUUUGUUGAGAUUACUUUUCGCGGGAAAAAGAGUUUUCAAUAUGGACGCCAUGAUUGACAGUUACAUUUUACGAAGGAAAGAUAAAAUUUUUAUAUCAAAAAAGACGUAUUUAUAUAAGUAUUUUUAUAUUUUGUAUUUAUUAGUAUUUAGUUUUUAUGUUUAAUUUUAUUAAUAAUUAUUAUAUUAAUUAUUAUAUAUAGAAUAUUAAGAUAGUAGUAGAAAUUAUAGUAGAAAUUUUAAAAUAA